rnacentral:lncRNA from 1 species
UUUUUUUUUUUCAGAUUUUCCUAUGUAUUUUUAUUUUUUCCAGAUCGUUAAAAAAAAAAAUUAAUGUGUUAGCAUUCUGGUUGGAAAUGUAUUAUAUUUACAGAUUAAUCUAGGGGAACAUCUAUUUAAAAUGUCAAAUCAUCUCGUUCAAGAACAAGGUAUAGUAUAGUCCCUCGGUACCUGAGGGAGAUUGGUUCUAGGACCCCCAUAGAUACUCAAAUCCCAGGAUGCUCAAGUACCUGAUAUAAAAUGGUGUAGUAUUUGCAUAUAACCUAUGCACAUCUUCCCGUAUAAAUCAUCUCUAUAUUAUUUAUAAUACUUAAAAGUGUGAAUACUAUAUAAUUAUAUUAACUUAUAUUUU